UUAAUUUGAUAUUAUUACUACACUUGAGUUUAUAGAAAACACAACUAAACUAUAUUAUAUUCAAACCAAGUUAUUUAACGUUAAAACUUUCAACAACGGAUCUCUUGGCUCUCGCACCGAUGAAGAGCGCAGCGAAAUGCGAUAACUAAUGUGAAUUGCAGGCAUCGUGAAUCAUCGAGUUCUUGAACGCACAUUGCGCCCUGUGGUAUUCCGCAGGGCAUGCCUGUUUGAGCGUCAGUUCAUUCUAUGAGCUGGGUUUACUUUUUGUAGCCACCACCACCUUUGGUGGUGGAAGUGGAAAGUUUGUCUGAAAAUUAUUGAGAACUUCAAUGCGUUACUACGUAUCCGCAUUGGACCAACCUAUAAAUUUGACCUCAAAUCAGGUAGGAAUACCCGCUGAACUUAAGCAUAUCAAUAA
rnacentral:rRNA from 1 species